GAUGAAGAACGUAGCGAAAUGCGAUAAGUAAUGUGAAUUGCAGAAUUCAGUGAAUCAUCGAAUCUUUGAACGCACCUUGCGCCCUUUGGCUAUUCCGAAGGGCAUGCCUGUUUGAGUAUCAUGAACACCUCAACUCUCAUGACUUGCCAUGAUGAGCUUGGACUAUGGGGGUCUUGCUGGCCUGUGGUCGGCUCCUCUCAAAUGAAUCAGCUUGCCGGUGUUUGGUGGCGUCACAGGUGUGAUAACUAUCUACGCUUGUGGUGUUUUCCACCAGGUAACCUUCAGCAAUGGAGGUUCGCUGGGGCUCAUAAAAGUCUCUCCUCGGUGAGGACAGCUCUUUUUGAACGUUUGAUCUCAAAUCAGGUAGGACUACCCGCUGAACUUAAGCAUAUCAAUAAGCGGAGGA
rnacentral:misc_RNA from 1 species